UUGCUGCUUUGCUGACGAGUGGCGGACGGGUGAGUAAUGUCUGGGAAACUGCCUGAUGGAGGGGGAUAACUACUGGAAACGGUAGCUAAUACCGCAUAACGUCGCAAGACCAAAGAGGGGGACCUUCGGGCCUCUUGCCAUCGGAUGUGCCCAGAUGGGAUUAGCUAGUAGGUGGGGUAAAGGCUCACCUAGGCGACGAUCCCUAGCUGGUCUGAGAGGAUGACCAGCCACACUGGAACUGAGACACGGUCCAGACUCCUACGGGAGGCAGCAGUGGGGAAUAUUGCACAAUGGGCGCAAGCCUGAUGCAGCCAUGCCGCGUGUAUGAAGAAGGCCUUCGGGUUGUAAAGUACUUUCAGCGGGGAGGAAGGGAGUAAAGUUAAUACCUUUGCUCAUUGACGUUACCCGCAGAAGAAGCACCGGCUAACUCCGAGCCAGCAGCCGCGGUAAUACGGAGGGUGCAAGCGUUAAUCGGAAUUACUGGGCGUAAAGCGCACGCAGGCGGUUUGUUAAGUCAGAUGUGAAAUCCCCGGGCUCAACCUGGGAACUGCAUCUGAUACUGGCAAGCUUGAGUCUCGUAGAGGGGGGUAGAAUUCCAGGUGUAGCGGUGAAAUGCGUAGAGAUCUGGAG
rnacentral:rRNA from 1 species